UACGAAGGGUGCAAGCGUUAAUCGGAAUUACUGGGCGUAAAGGGUGCGUAGGCGGUUUGUUAAGUCUGUUGUGAAAUCCCCGGGCUCAACCUGGGAAUGGCAAUGGAUACUGGCAGGCUAGAGUGUGUCAGAGGGUAGUGGAAUUCCCGGUGUAGCAGUGAAAUGCGUAGAGAUCGGGAGGAACAUCUGUGGCGAAGGCGACUGCCUGGACCAGCACUGACACUGAGGCACGAAAGCGUGGGGAGCAAACAGGAUUAGAUACCCUGGUAGUCCACGCCCUAAACGAUGCGAACUGGAUGUUGGGCUCAACUUGGAGCUCAGUAUCGAAGCUAACGCGUUAAGUUCGCCGCCUGGGGAGUACGGUCGCAAGACUGAAACUCAAAG
rnacentral:rRNA from 1 species